UUAUAGUAAGAGGUGCUUGUGAAGUGCUGUGAGUUCUUACUACACACUAGGUACUCCACCUGUGUGGAAUCCUCACCACAGCACCAUAAGCCUGGGGCUGGUAUUAUCCCAUUUUAUAACUAAGGCCACUGACACCCCAUUAAGGAACAUGCUCCCCUCACAGAGUUAGAAAGUGGCAUGAAGGAACACAUGGGUGGCUCAGAUGCCUUUGGCUCAGGGUGUGAUCCCAGGAUCAAGUCCUACAUCAGCCUCCUACAGGGAGCCUGCUCCUCCCUCUGCCUAUGUCUCUGCCUUUCUCUCUGUGUCUCUCAUGAGUAAAUAAAUAAAAUCUUUAGAAGACAGACAGACAGACAGACAGACAUGAAUUCCAAUCAGGUUUUCAGAUUUCAUAGGACCUGAGAGCUAGUUUUUGGAAGAAAGAAUGGAUGAUCCAAAGAACUUAUCACAUGCUUCUGGGGAGACAUUCCCAGGAAACGGGGUAAGAGAAAAUCAGGGAAACAUUUUGCCUUUUCUAGAACUUGAACACAUAACCUGGCUUCAUGGGAGAUUGCUUGUUCUAUUUAGAUGAAGUUGUCUGCUUCUGUAUGGGAUGACUGUCCUCCUGAUGACAGCAGCGGCUCAGGGGCAGAGGGGAGGUGUGAGAACCAGGAGAUGGCUGUGGAAGCCCCAGUGCUGCGAUGGCAGGGUCCCUGCUGUGCUGUAAGAGAGACCAGAGACUAUUUACCAUGACGUCUCUUUUCUCUAUUCCCAAUCAUAAAUUGGAGCCCGUGUCAGAAACUCAGAGCCUCUCACAUCUUAUGUUUGUGUGGGAGUGGAGUCUGCUUGCCAGGUAGGAUGCUGAAAAUUAGUGAUGUCACCCAAUUAAGGGAAACUUUGCUCACUGUGGCCCUUUGUGACAUUUUUGUCCCACUCCUGCUGAAGAAAUUGGCCCUGCAUUAAGGUGAUGACUCUUUUCCACGCCUCAUCCAAAGAACAGGUGCUCACAGGGCUUCUUUGAGAAGCCAGGAGGGUUGUUUCCACUGUGGCAAUCAAUCAAGCACUCUAGGGUGGAAAACGUAGUCACUGAAUGUUCUUUAGCCUCUCUCUGUCACUCUGUGUACCUCCACAGAGCAGCCUCCACGACAGGGGAUUGACUCCUACUAGUCUGUCAGGAGAGGGGGAAGAGAAGGGAGGGAGAUCCUAACCCUUCCAUUUAUUCUCUCUGCUUUCAAAGGAGUUCUGAAUGAUUAGGGCAUUUUAUCUGGUACAGGUAAUUGAAGGUACAAUUCAAAAUGGCUAAGAUGACGGAGAAAUUCAACAUAUAUAACAAGAUUUUCCAAGGUAGGACAGUUCUGGAUUUGGUUACUUCAGAGGCUCACUGAUGACACCAAGCAUGUGGGCCACUGCUUCCAUCCUUCUCCUCAGCCAUCUUCAGCAUCUCAAUUGUUCCAUCUCUGUCCUAAGAAAGCUGCAGGAUCAGCAGGCAUCAUAUCAUGAUGGAAGCAGAAAAGGGAACCAUCUUUUCCCAUGUCUCUUAAAGAGCUGAGAACUUUGUCCUUAUGCCCCACCCUCCCAGGAGAUACUCUCUCAUCCCAUUUGUGAGAAGAGGAUCACAUGCGUUAUCACUGAAACAGUCACUCUAGGAGGAAUGGAAACCUCUGUGCUGGGCUUAAAUCAGUCAGGAUUUAUGUGAUCACUUGAGGAGAAGGGGAUACCUGAACAACACAGAGGUAUGGGGAGGGGAACUCCUGGUUACCAACCCACUGUGUCUGCUACAAAGUUCUACAGCCAAUAUGACACCCUGAAACUUAAGAAAACUGGCCUAGUUCCUGAAAGGAUUUGUUGAAAGUAUUUCAUUAUGGAAAUUCUGGCCUGCCCUUGUUUUGGUCAAGUUUACUGGGAUAUAAUAAGGAAUUCCUAGUACCCCAGAGGUACUGGGGGAUGUGCUAUCCUAUAGAGGGUUCGUAGGGUGGCAUCUCCAAAGCUAUACUUCAUUCUAUUUUCAUUUUUCUAAAAUACAGACCUAAGCAAGUCAAAGCUCAAACAACCAAGUGGUAUUCCCACCAGUUUCUGAGCCAUCUCUCUCCUCAUAUCUUAUUUUCUUUUAUGUAUGAAAACUCAGGGACGCCUUUUUCUUUUCAGUUCCCUUUCUCCUCCUUUCUUUUCAGUUUCCCUUGUCUUUGCUGUGUUUUGAACACCCUUCUCUCUUUGCCUGACUGAUAAACUCCUGCACAUCCUUCAAGACCCAAGUCAAAUGGCAAAAUUCACUCCUUUCCUUUAAUUUCUCCUUGAUUUGCAUUUCCAUAGUUAUUGCCAUCAUUGUUCUAAAAUCAUCCCAUUGCUCUUACAGCCUCCUGACAAGUUUCUCUGCCUCUUCUUGCUCCCUCUACUUGAUUUUCCACACUACAGAAUAUUUCUAAAGUACUAAUCUAUUUAUGUCACUCUUUUGCUAAUGUCCUUCAUGGGCUACCCAUAAUGCCUGGGAUGAAGUUCUGUAACAUAGCUCAUAAAAACCAUGUUGAUUAGUUAGAGUAUCUGUCUCUUCCCCCUCACAUUAGGUGCUUUGCCACACCAAGUGAUCUGUGGCUUAUGAGUGUGCUAUGUUCUUUUCACCUCCUACAUUUGUGCAAAUCCUAUUGCCUAUGCUAGGAAUGCUCUCCUUCACCAACCCUCCAGGCUUCUGGUCUCAGUUGCCAGAUUUAAUGCCUGCAAGUCUUGGUGGGUGCUCUCUCAUACAUUUGUAAAGUUAGCAUAAAACUAUCACUUCAGGGCAGAAAUAGAAUGAUUUUGCAGUCUUGGUUCAGUCUUAGGCACAGUGAUUAAAGCUGCAAGCCUUCACUUUUGCAUGAAACCAUCAUUUUAAAAAGUUCCUAAAACUUUCAGAAUUUGUGGACCAUUUACUUUGUCUACGAAUCACACAAAUCAACAAAAGUAAACAUUUUUAAAAGAUUCACCAUUUGCCAGAGUUAUAACCAUCAUAAUAAAAAAAAUGAAACUAAAGCCUAAGGUUAACUU
rnacentral:lncRNA from 12 species